GAUGAACGCUGGCGGCGUGCCUAACACAUGCAAGUCGAACGGAGUCGUUUUGGAAAUCUCUUCGGAGAUGGAAUUCUCGACUUAGUGGCGGACGGGUGAGUAACGCGUGAGCAAUCUGCCUUUAAGAGGGGGAUAACAGUCGGAAACGGCUGCUAAUACCGCAUAAAGCAUUAAAUUCGCAUGUUUUUGAUGCCAAAGGAACAAUCCGCUUUUAGAUGAGCUCGCGUCUGAUUAGCUAGUUGGCGGGGUAACGGCCCACCAAGGCGACGAUCAGUAGCCGGACUGAGAGGUUGAACGGCCACAUUGGGACUGAGACACGGCCCAGACUCCUACGGGAGGCAGCCGUGGGGAAUAUUGCGCAAUGGGGGAAACCCUGACGCAGCAACGCCGCGUGAUUGAAGAAGGCCUUCGGGUUGUAAAGAUCUUUAAUCAGGGACGAAACAAAUGACGGUACCUGAAGAAUAAGCUCCGGCUAACUACGUG
rnacentral:rRNA from 1 species